AAAAAGUUAGUUAAAUAAUAACAUAAAAUUGUCAAUUUUAAAUCACUAUUACUCAAUAGUACUUUUUU
rnacentral:tRNA from 1 species